UACGUAGGGGGCAAGCGUUGUCCGGAAUCAUUGGGCGUAAAGAGCGUGUAGGCGGCCAGAUAAGUCCGCUGUGAAAUCUCGAGGCUCAACUUCGAGCUGUCGGUGGAAACUGUCUGGCUAGAGUCCGGAAGAGGAGAAUGGAAUUCCUGGUGUAGCGGUGAAAUGCGCAGAUAUCAGGAAGAACACCCGUGGCGAAGGCGGUUCUCUGGGACGGUACUGACGCUGGAGACGCGAAAGCGUGGGGAGCGAACAGG
rnacentral:rRNA from 1 species